AUUCAGCUGACGAGUCCGAACUAGGACGAAACGUGCAUCCUGGUU
rfam:Schistosoma rodhaini strain Burundi genome assembly, scaffold: SROB_scaffold0001832